UGGAAAACGCGAUGAGGAGUUUGUUUCCAGAAGACAUUCCUCAUCAGCAAUCUCCACUGAGAGAACUUUCCCAGGCGGUUGAUCCAAACCGGCCUUCAUCAUCUUCCUCUUCAUUGAGAUCACUAUCCAUGGAUAGCCCAGAUAGCUCUCCUUUUUUGUUUAAUAUUCCAACAUCCCAAAUAUCAGAAAUCCCUCAAGAGACUCC
rnacentral:misc_RNA from 1 species